UAGGGAAUCUUCGGCAAUGGACGAAAGUCUGACCGAGCAACGCCGCGUGAGUGAAGAAGGUUUUCGGAUCGUAAAACUCUGUUGUUAGAGAAGAACAAGGACGUUAGUAACUGAACGUCCCCUGACGGUAUCUAACCAGAAAGCCACGGCUAACUACGUGCCAGCAGCCGCGGUAAUACGUAGGUGGCAAGCGUUGUCCGGAUUUAUUGGGCGUAAAGCGAGCGCAGGCGGUUUCUUAAGUCUGAUGUGAAAGCCCCCGGCUCAACCGGGGAGGGUCAUUGGAAACUGGGGGACUUGACUGCAGAAGAGGAGAGUGGAAUUCCAUGUGUAGCGGUGAAAUGCGUAGAUAUAUGGAGGAACACCAGUGGCGAAGGCGGCUCUCUGGUCUGUAACUGACGCUGAGGCUCGAAAGCGUGGGGAGCAAACAGG
rnacentral:rRNA from 1 species